rnacentral:rRNA from 1 species
AUAUCAAUAAGCGGAGGAAAAGAAACCAACAGGGAUUGCCUCAGUAACGGCGAGUGAAGCGGCAUCAGCUCAAAUUUGAAAUCUGGCCUCACGGCCCGAGUUGUAAUUUGUAGAGAAUGCUUCGGGCGAGGUCCGGUCUAAGUUCCUUGGAACAGGACGUCAUAGAGGGUGAGAAUCCCGUAUGCGACCGGUCGCCUCCGCCCAUGUGAAGCUUCUUCGACGAGUCGAGUUGUUUGGGAAUGCAGCUCAAAAUGGGUGGUAUAUUUCAUCUAAAGCUAAAUACUGGCCAGAGACCGAUAGCGCACAAGUAGAGUGAUCGAAAGAUGAAAAGCACUUUGGAAAGAGAGUUAAACAGUAC